CGAAAGCAUUCACAGAUUGUUCCGUUUGCUAAUUUGGUUUAGUAGCUGAUAUGUUGGGUUUUUGUCUGUCACAACAACAACAAAGAUUAAUUAAACAUUUUGUGGGAAAACAAAGAUUGUUUGUGUCAAACUAAAACAAACAAAAACAAUAAAUUCCACUGUUUUGUUUACAUCAUUGACACGUUCUCUCUCUCUGUGUUCUGUUUUUUUUUUCUAGCAUAACUAUCUUUGGUACUGGGGCCAAGUGGCUGGCUGUGCUGCAGGAGAGGAACCUGAAACCCAUGGAAACACACAACCUGCAGUCCCUUCACACCAUCCUGUCGACUGGAUCUUCCCUCAAACCCCAGAGCUACGACUACGUCUACCGUUGCAU